ACCUCGGCUUGUUAAUGAGUCACUGCUUAUCACUCAGCCUUGUUAACAGGCAGAGGUCUCCCAUCCAAACCGCCUACUGCUAUUGUGCGCUAGUCGUACUGCGCGUUAGCCAAACGCUCCCCCAUCUUGGCACACAGGAAGUCGACAGUAAACAAGGGCAGCGCACACAGGAAGUGGGCACGCAGCCAGGCAGAAAGAUCCGGCCCAGAGGGGCGGGGGCCCAUUUUGUGGCAGGAUGGAGGGAACCUCUGGCAAAGGCACGCAAACGCGACGCCUUCCCGCCUGUAAAUCUCACCGCACUAACGAUUGGCCGGCGCUGCUCCCAUCCCUUAAUCCUUAUUCAUUACUGGCCUCAGCUGGAAGCAUCGAGACUCCUUCAGCUGUUCCGACAAGCGGAACUCGUCGAGGGGCUCUUAGCCUGGAGAUCUCCAUUAUGACGGCAUUAUGUGGCCGCCCACCCCACUCUACACCACCUUCUACUUAACAGCUAUGCCGCUAUGUCACAACAGCACCGAUCAGAAAGAUUGGAGCAGAUGGGAGCGACGGACCAGUGCUUCGCAGCUCAAACUCAGCGUUUUCCCUCUGGCUCCGCAGCAUCACUGUGUGCCACAUUUCUAAAAGCUGUAGAACAAUGAAAAUAAAAUUCAUUUAUAUAUA